GCUUUGGUUUCCACCCCCACAAGUUUGCCAGUUGGACCUGCAAACUGCAGCAUCAACACACCUGCUCACCCGACAGUAGCUCACGUUUGGUAACACAAUGGAGUGUGGAGGCCAGUCUGUUUGGACGGGUCCCAUUGGGAGCACGGUGUCUUAUUAAAUGUGUGCAGCGCCUCCACUAUGCAGGUGAGCGACUCCAUUGCUCAGCGGUCACCGUCGCCACCUCGGAUGUGUGAGAUUAAGCCAGCAAAGCGUGUGGACCUUGUUAGUGGGAUUAAACCCACGAGGACUGACAGCCGCCAUUCCACUGAUUACUUCACACCGCAAUGUGGUGAUUAAAGCCGGUACACAAUAA